rnacentral:rRNA from 1 species
UCGGAGCACGAUACCCUCGGGAAACUGAGGCUAAUAGUGCAUCCCGCAUCACACCUGGAAUGAGUGAUGCGUCAAACGCUCCGGCGCCGAAGGAUGUGGCUGCGGCCGAUUAGGUAGACGGUGGGGUAACGGCCCACCGUGCCAAUAAUCGGUACGGGUCAUGAGAGUGAGAACCCGGAGACGGAAUCUGAGACAAGAUUCCGGGCCCUACGGGGCGCAGCAGGCGCGAAACCUUUACACUGCACGACAGUGCGAUAAGGGAAUCCCAAGUGCGUAGGCAUAGAGCCUACGCUUUUGUCCACCGUAGGGAGGUGGACGAAUAAGGGCUGGGCAAGACCGGUGCCAGCCGCCGCGGUAAUACCGGCAGCCCGAGUGAUGGCCGAUCUUAUUGGGCCUAAAGCGUCCGUAGCUGGCCGCGCAAGUCUAUCGGAAAAUCCACCCGCUCAACGGGUGGGCGUCCGGUAGAAACUGCGUGGCUUGGGACCGGAAGGCGCGACGGGUACGUCCGGGGUAGGAGUGAAAUCCUGUAAUCCUGGACGGACCGCCGAUGGCGAAAGCACGUCGCGAGAACGGAUCCGACAGUGAGGGACGAAAGCUAGGGUCUCGAACCGGAUUAGAUACCCGGGUAGUCCUAGCCGUAAACAAUGCCUGCUAGGUGUGGCUCCCACUACGAGUGGGUGCUGUGCCGUAGGGAAGCCGCUAAGCAGGCCGCCUGGGAAGUACGUCCGCAAGGAUGAAACUUAAAGGAAUU